UCCACCCGGUAAACGUUGGGAACUAGUUGUGGGUCCAUCCCACGGAUUCCGUGACGCAGUUAACGCAUUUAAGUUCCCCGCUUGGGAAGUACGCCCGCAAGGUUAAAACUCAAAGGAAUUGACGGGGACCCGCACAAGCGGCGGAGCAUGGGAUUAAUUCGAUGCAACGGAAGACCCUUACCAAGGCUUGACAUAUACGAGAACGGGCCAGAAAUGGUCAACUCUUUGGACACUGGUAAACAGGUGGUGCAUGGUUGUCGUCAGCUCGUGUCGUGAGAUGUUGGGUUAAGUCCCGCAACGAGCGCAACCCUCGUUCUAUGUUGCCAGCACGUAAUGGUGGGAACUCAUGGGAUACUGCCGGGGUCAACUCGGAGGAAGGUGGGGAUGACGUCAAAUCAUCAUGCCCCUUAUGUCUUGGGCUUCACGCAUGCUACAAUGGCCGGUACAAAGGGCUGCAAUACCGCGAGGUGGAGCGAAUCCCAAAAAGCCGGUCCCAGUUCGGAUUGAGGUCUGCAACUCGACCUCAUGAAGUCGGAGUCGCUAGUAAUCGCAGAUCAGCAACGCUGCGGUGAAUACGUUCCCGGGUCUUGUACACACCGCCCGUCAAGUCAUGAAAGUCGGUAACACCUGAAGCCGGUGGCCUAACCCUUGUGGAGGGAGCCGUCGAAGGUGGGAUCGGUAAUUAGGACUAAGUCGUAACAAGGUAGCCGUACCGGAAGGUGCGGCUGGAUCACCUCCUU
rnacentral:rRNA from 1 species